rnacentral:rRNA from 1 species
CCGAAAGCUAUUUAGGUAGCGCCUCGUGAAUUCAUCUCCGGGGGUAGAGCACUGUUUCGGCUAGGGGGCCAUCCCGGCUUACCAACCCGAUGCAAACUGCGAAUACCGGAGAAUGUUAUCACGGGAGACACACGGCGGGUGCUAACGUCCGUCGUGAAGAGGGAAACAACCCAGACCGCCAGCUAAGGUCCCAAAGUCAUGGUUAAGUGGGAAACGAUGUGGGAAGGCCCAGACAGCCAGGAUGUUGGCUUAGAAGCAGCCAUCAUUUAAAGAAAGCGUAAUAGCUCACUGGUCGAGUCGGCCUGCGCGGAAGAUGUAACGGGGCUAAACCAUGCACCGAAGCUGCGGCAGCGACGCUGAUGCGUUGUUGGGUAGGGGAGCGUUCUGUAAGCCUGUGAAGGUGGCCUGUGAGGG